GACGAACGCUGGCGGCGUGCCUAAUACAUGCAAGUCGAGCGCAGGAAACUGACGGAACUCUUCGGAGGGAAGGCAGUGGAAUGAGCGGCGGACGGGUGAGUAACACGUAAGGAACCUGCCUCAAGGAUUGGGAUAACUCCGAGAAAUCGGAGCUAAUACCGGAUAGUUCAACGGACCGCAUGGUCCGCUGAUGAAAGGCGCUCCGGCGUCACCUUGGGAUGGCCUUGCGGUGCAUUAGCUAGGUGGUGGGGUAACGGCCCACCAAGGCGACGAUGCAUAGCCGACCUGAGAGGGUGAUCGGCCACACUGGGACUGAGACACGGCCCAGACUCCUACGGGAGGCAGCAGUAGGGGAUCUUCCACAAUGGACGAAAGUCUGAUGGAGCAACGCCGCGUGAGUGAUGAAGGUUUUCGGAUCGUAAAACUCUGUUGUAAGGGAAGAACACGUACGAGGGGAAAUGCUCGUACCUUGACGGUACCUUACGAGAAAGCCACGGCUAACUACGUGCCAGCAGCCGCCGCCGUAA
rnacentral:rRNA from 1 species